CCCUAUGGCCAGACUGUACUGAUUGCAUCUGAUCACGGAAGCUGAGCAGGCCUGGGUCUGGUUAGUGUCUGCAUAGGAGACCACCUGGGAAUCCCAGGUGCUGUAGGCC
rnacentral:rRNA from 1 species